rnacentral:rRNA from 1 species
UACGGAGGGUGCAAGCGUUAUCCGGAAUCACUGGGUUUAAAGGGUGCGUAGGUGGUUUAGUAAGUCAGAUGUGAAAGCCCGGCGCUCAACGUCGGAAUUGCAUUUGAUACUGCUGAACUUGAAUCAGGUUGAGGUGGGGCGGAAUGUGGCAUGUAGCGGUGAAAUGCAUAGAUAUGCCAUAGAACACCAAUUGCGAAGGC